rnacentral:rRNA from 1 species
AUUGAACGCUGGCGGCAGGCCUAACACAUGCAAGUCGAACGAGUGGCGGACGGGUGAGUAAUGUCUGAGAAACUGCCCGAUGGGGGGGUAUAACUACGGGACACUGUAGCUAAUACCGCAUACCAUCGGAUGUGCCCAGAUGGGAUUAGCUAGUAGGUGGGGUAACGGCUCACCUAGGCGACGAUCCCUAGCUGGUCUGAGAGGAUGCCCAGCCACACUGGAACUGAGACACGGUCCAGACUCCUACGGGAGGCAGCAGUGGGGAAUAUUGCACAAUGGGCGCAAGCCUGAUGCAGCCAUGCCGCGUGUAUGAAGAAGGCCUUCGGGUUGUAAAGUACUUUCAGCGAGGAGGCGUUACUCGCAGAAGAAGCACCGGCUAACUCCGUGCCAGCCGCCGCGGUAAUUC